AGCUAAAGUGCUAUGACAAACAGGCUAACCAGAAUCAAGGUACAGGAGGUUUGUAGGUAGUCCUGAUUGAUGAAUUCAUUCUCAUCACAUCUUUCUUUCACACCCACUUGAUGUGGAUACCAAAGACUUAUUAGGAAUACAAAAACCACAUUUUACCAUUUGUAUUAAACACAGAAACGAGCUCGAUUUUUUAAAAACAGAUUUAUCCAUUUUUUCAAUAUCCCUGAGCUGAACAUUAACAAAUGACAUGAGUGAACUCUCAUAUACAAUAUUAUACAUUAUUUGUCAUUUUUCUAAUUAAGCACAGGGGCGUUUAUAGUUCUGAUGUCUUUGACAUUUUCCCUGGAACAUACCAAACCCUAGAAAUGUUUCCAAGGACACCUGGAAUUUGGUUACUCCACUGCCAUGUGACCGACCACAUUCAUGCUGGAAUGGAAACCACUUACACCGUUCUACAAAAUGAAGACACCAAAUCUGGCUGAAUGAAAUAAAUUGGUGAUAAGUGGAAAAAAGAGAAAAACCAAUGAUUCAUAACAAUGUAUGUGAAAGUGUAAAAUAGAAUGUUACUUUGGAAUGACUAUAAACAUUAAAAGAAGACUGGAAGCAUACAACUUUGUGCAUUUGUGGGGGAAAACUAUUAAUUUUUUGCAAAUGGAAAGAUCAACAGACUAUAUAAUGAUACAUGACUGACACUUGUACACUAGGUAAUAAA
rnacentral:sRNA from 1 species